rnacentral:tRNA from 1 species
GUCAGGAUGGCCGAGCGGUCGAAGGCGCUGCGUUUAGGUCGCAGUCUACUCUUGUAGGCGUGGGUUCGAAUCCCACCCCUGACA